ensembl:snoRNA
AUCCUUUUGUAGUUCAUUAGUGUGAUGACUGGGUGUCCAAGCUGCUGUGUGACAGACAUGUGCCUCACUCAAGCCCUGUUAUGAAGUAGGCACUUUACCUCUCUGAUG